rnacentral:tRNA from 1 species
GACCAAGUGGCGCAACGGGUAGACGCGCGACGCUCAGAACGUCGUGCCGCAAGGCAUGGGAGUUCGACUCUCCCCUUGGUCACUA